GGAGAGAUGGCAGAGAGGCCGAAUGCAACCGCCUGCUAAGUGGUUGACCGGGUAAAACUGGUCCCUGGGUUCGAAUCCCAGUCUCUCCG
rnacentral:tRNA from 1 species